UGGCAUUUUGGAACUGCCAGUGCAUCUACAGCCACGCCGAAGCAUGGACCACCUUCAGAGGCAGUUGAGUAAUGUUUCGCUCUCAAGUGAUGAUUUCCUCUCCAGUUUACGAGAUGAAGAUGUACCUAAGCUUCUUUUUCUCUCAGUUGACCCGAGCAGAAUCAUAUCUUAUGGAGCGGAUGACAGCCUCGGGGCAUCUCCGGGCAUUUUUACUGAUUCUGAAGUUCCGUCGAACUUAAGAUUACUUGAAAAAUUCAAGAGAUGUUUGGUUGAGAGACGGAUCACGCCUUUGAGACGCGAGUUUCAGUGCCGUCUGCUGUCCCUCUCCUGUGUGACGCCAGUCUCGAACUCCCUCAGUACCCUGGAGAGUAACUUCUCCGACGAGAAUAACGAGCUUAACGACGGCCAGGAGGACAUCCUACGAUUCACUGAGCUCCUCGAGAUGUUCCAUUUGCCAGUGCCGAAGGACAUCAGAGGUAACUUUGAUAACAUUAUCUCGUCCAAGAAAAUUCCUUUGACGGUGAAUUCCGAGAAGAGUGAAGAGCGUACGUUCUUCGUGGAGGCGGGGAGCAAGGUCAUGGUGGAAAUAGGCGAUAGUCUCUCGCCUUCGGAUGUGUUCCAACUCUACAGGAUUCUGUCCGGCACGGCUAUGGACGACGAGAAGGCAAAGGAACUCUUGUCCCCGGAGCUAGAGCAGGGCUCCCUCGAGAAAGUGCCGGGGUUGAAAGACGUGGCGUUCUAUUAUCUCGUCCUUGAGAUGCUGAGAAAGGAAAUGAUGAACCAUUUGUACACGCAUAAACUUCACUUUCUGUUUGACCAGCUGAAGGAGGUGAAGUUCGGAGAGGGAGCCGAAGAUCCACACAUCGACGGCAUUUUGAACACCCUCGGUCGAUACCCAAUUACCUCGAGGCCCCCGGGUCUGUGCCUCGUGUUUCUCAUAACUGAAGGCCGAAACGGGGCGUCGCGGGACCUCGCGAAGGUCAGGGAGUUAUUUGAGAAGCAGUACAAGUACGCCUUCUUCGUGAAAAAUGACCCCACGGCCGAGGAGAUUAAAUCAAUCAUCUGCAAACUGAAGGCAGGCAGAUAUAAAUUCUACGACAGCCUGGUGGUGUGGUUCAUGGGUCACGGAGACAAGACCUACCUGCAAGUGAAGGAGGGACGCAUCCACCGCCGCCUGGACCUGAUCGAACCGUUCACAGAGAUUAAGUGGUACAACAAGAAACCCAAACUCUUCUUCAUCCAAGCUUGUGCUAACAAGAAGAACCGCAGGAGAUUCUCUUCUACUUGUAGCUCAAGUAAAGGCCCUUCAAACCAGCACAGACUCCCUCUCGGUUACGUGGCGGGCGUCUGCUGGCUCUGAAUGGCAAGACAAGUAUGCAGACUACACCGACAUGUCUAUGGUUAACUCCUUUGCAGACACACUCAUUGCAUACGCGACGAUGUGGUACCAGUAUGCAACCAGAGGAGAUGAGGGUUCCCUGUACGUAGACACAUUGGUGGAUCAGCUACGGCAAAAUGGUCACAAGGAGAGUAUUGAAAACGUUCUCCAACGAGUACACUACAACGUCAACAUGGUUUCCCUCCUGUACAGUGAAGAAGGGCAAGACAUUAAGUGGAAGCAGGCACCUUUCUUUGAGUCCUCCCUUCAGAAGGUGUUCAUUUUCCCUAAACCCAGGGAGUAGAGGGAGAGAGAUGGUGAUCAUCUGAGUUCUUGGUACAAAGAAGUAUAUAAACUGAUAUUAUUUUUAUGGUUUGUUUGCGUUUGUUAUGAUUUGUUUGUGUUUUUUUGUGGACUUUGAUUUAUUUGUUAUGAACUGUUUGGUUUAUUAUGAAGCGUUUUAUUUGUUAUGAAGCGUUUGAUUUAUUUAUGAAGCGUUUGAUUUAUUUGUUAUGAAGCGUUUGAUUUGUUAUGAAGUGUUUCAUUUCUUUGUUAUGAAUUACUUAUUUAUUAGUUGUGAACUGGUUACGUUAUUUGGUUGCAAGUAGAUCAACGAAUGGAAGUACAGGAAAACACGAAUAUUCGUGAGUUUUCUUGUGUUUCCCUUCGUUGUUCUACUUGCAAUUUGUUCGACAUGAAUUCCACACGUUAUUUGGUAUGUAUUAUCUAUGUAAUUUCUUACGCGGUUGUACAUACUCAUGUGUUCCUGGCUGAUUAUACCAAAGACUUUAGGAUUUUAAUUACAGCUAUAUGCAGUCUAAACGGCCAAAUAUAUAUAUGAAAAUAAAUAAAUGAAUAAAUAAAAACUAGUAGUAACGAAGAUAAAAAAA